GUUAGCAGCUAGCUAGCGUUAACUAUAUAUCUAUCACAAAGUCCUGUCUCUAACAAGUAUUAAAGACUACAUAUGGUUAGGUGCCUCUCGUGGUGAACGCCCACCCUGACCCUGUCUGCAUUCGUGGGGUGACCAUGAGGCAGCUGAGGAAGGCUAGACCCAGGUCCAGGUUUACUAUGAACCCAGUCACCAGGCAUUAAAUGGGAUCCUGAAGGAAAAGCAAGACUUCCUGAUAGACUACCACCCAGGGGAUCUCCCACCACUCUCUGUGAAGGCUGAAGCCUAAGAUGACCUGCUCUGUUCAUCAUGGAUACUGUGGUGCUUGUAUCAUAGGAACAGGAGGGUCUAUCUCUAUCAGCCCCAGGUCCUGCUUCAUCCCUGCACUGAGACUGCAAAGAGAAGGGUCUGGGCUGCAGACUGGAUCCCUGACUGGAGCCUCUAUCUCUCUGAUGAGCACCAGGACUGAGGUUGUUCAGUCCACCUGUCCACUGGUUGUGUUCUGUGUAGUGGUGGAAUCUCUGUCCCUCGUCGGUUGGUCCUAGUUCCGAAUCGGGACGGAAUAACAAUGGCUCCUGAUCCAGGGUUCUGAUCCGGGGCCAGGGUUUGUGACCAGCCUCUUCAGAGGUCCACUCUCUCCCGCCAGCAACACCGGAUAUCAGCAGGUCUUCAUGGACUGCAGACUAAACACACAUUUUACAAAAGAGCAUAUAAAAGGUUCAUAUAAGAAACUCUGCUGUACACACAGUAACAUGACAUAUUAUAAAAUGUUCACCCACAGUCAAGCCCAUCUCUAACACUGUGAUUCAAGUAUCCAACAAUAUGGACCAUUGGAGUUUUAUUUUAUUUUUUAAAGCCAUGUGUUGAUUCAAUAAUUAAGUAUAAUUUUUUGGUUCGACUGAAAUAAGGGAAACUCAGUCCCUGCAAUGAUACAAAAAAACAAGCCAGUCAGCAGAGUCACAUUUGUAUUUAAUUUCAACUAAAAUAGUAAUACACUUACAUAAUGUAAAGUACAGUACUUUUUUAUUAAAUAAAACAAUAAGUUGGGCUGUGGUGGUCAUGACAUUUUGUUAGCUGGUUAUUGUCAUGCAAAACUGUCAGUCUCACGUAAUUGACCAGUAAUUAACAUAAACACGUUGAGCAUCUCCAGGCCUCCAUGCAUACAAGCUGCUGAUGAACUUUGGAACAUCUACAUUUAACAAUAUCAAAUCAGUUGAAUAUACACCAUCACAAUAAAGCCAAGAUUUAUUUUA